GCACCUUUAGCUCAAUUGGUUAUCCCGUUGCCUCGAACAGCGGGAGACAGUGAGUGGUCGGGGGUUCGAUUCCCUCUGGGCGCA